UCCGAGUUGACCCCGGCAGUCUCCAGAGGCAUCUGGCGUAUGUCAAGCCUUGGUAAGGUUCUUCGCGUUGCGUCGAAUUAAGCCACAUGCUCCGCCGCUUGUGCGGGCCCCCGUCAAUUCCUUUGAGUUUUAGCCUUGCGGCCGUACUCCCCAGGCGGGGCACUUAAUGCGUUAGCUGCGGCACGGACCACGUGGAAUGCGGCCCACACCUAGUGCCCAACGUUUACGGCGUGGACUAC
rnacentral:misc_RNA from 1 species